CACUGAGCCAGGAUGGCUGAAGCUGAUGUUACAUACGCUGAUGUGAAGUUCAUAAGACAGAGGACUAAAGAUGAUGUUUCUUUAGUCAGUGAAGUCAACUCUGCAGCCAGAAGAUCACCAACAAAAGAACCAGUCUGUGCAAAGUGUGCAGCAGAUGUUGAACAAGCUGGAAAGAGCACAAGGCCAAAGGUCACCACAGAGCGAGUAGUCCUGCUGGUCCUCAUCGCUAUCUUGGUAGCUACCAUCAUCGCCCUGGCAGUCAGUGAGUUUGUGUAUUUUCCUUAUUUUAUAUAUA